rnacentral:rRNA from 1 species
GACGAACGCUGGCGGCGUGCCUAAUACAUGCAAGUUGAGCGCUGAAGGUUGGUACUUGUUCCAACUGGGUGAGCAGCGAACGGGUGAGUAACGCGUGGGGAAUCUGCCUUUGAGCGGGGGACAACAUCUGGAAACGAAUGCUAAUACCGCAUAAAAACUUUAAACACAAGUUUCAAGUUUGAAAGAUGCAAUUGCAUCACCCAAUGAUGAUCCCGCGUUGUAUUAGCUAAUUGGUGAGGUAAAGGCUCACCAAGGCGAAGAUACAUAGCCGACCUGAGAGGGUGAUCGGCCACAUUUGGACUGAGACACGGCCCAAACUCCUACGGGAGGCAGCAGUAGGGAAUUUUCCGCAAUUGACGAAAGUCUGACCGAGCAACGCCGCGGUAGUGAAGAAGGUUUUCGGAUCGUAAAACUCUGUUGGUAGGGAAGAACGUUAGGGGGAGUGGAAAGCUCAUAAAGUGACGGUAACUACCCAGAAAGGGACGGCUAACUACGUG